rnacentral:lncRNA from 1 species
AUGGGUGACACUGUGGUGGGUGUUUACUACAGGCCACCUGAUCAGGAAGAGGAAGUCAAUGAGGCCUUCUACAGACAACUGGAAGUAGCCUCACGAUCCCAGGCCCUGGUUCUCAUGGGGGACUUCAACCACCCCGAUAUCUGCUGGAAAGACAACACAGCUAGGCACAAACAGUCCCGGAGGUUCCUGCAGAGCAUUGGUGACAACUUCUUGACACAGGUGGUGGAGGAGCCAACAAGGAGAGGUGUGCUGCUGGACCUGGUACUAACAAACAAAGAAAGACUGGUAGAAGAUGUGAAGGUUGGGGGCUGCCUUGGCUGCAGUGACCAUGAGAUGGUGGAGUUCAGGAUCCUGCAAGGAGGCAGCAGGGCACCAAGUAGGAUCGCAACCCUGGACUUCAGGAGAGCAAACUUUGGCCUCUUCAGGGACCUACUUGGAGGAAUCCCAUGGGUUAGGGCCCUAGAAGGAAGGGGUGUUCAAGAGAGCUGGUUAAUAUUCAAACAUCACCUCCUCCACGCUCAAGAGCGGUGCAUCCCUAUGAGUGGGAAGUCAAGCAAAGGAGGCGGGAGACCUGCAUGGAUGAGCAAGGAGCUCCUGGCAAAACUCUUCCAGAAGGAGGAAGUAUACAGAAAGUGGAAAGGGGGACAGGCCACUUGRGAGGAAUAUAGGAACGUUGUCAGAGUAUGCAGGGAUGGAACAAGGAAGGCUAAGGCCCAUUUGGAAUUAAAUCUGGCGAGAGAUGUCAAGGACAGCAAGAAGGGCUUCUUCAAAUGCAUCAGUAGCAAGAGGAAGACCAGGGAAAAUGUGGGCCCUUUGCUGAAUGGGGUGGGUGCCCUGGUGAUGAAGGAUGCAGAGAAGGCAGAGUUACUGAAUGCCUUCUUUGCUUCAGUCUUUACUGCUGCUCAGGCCAGCCCUCAGGAACCCCAGACCCUGGAGGCAAGAGAGAAAGUCUGGAGAAAGGAAGACUUUCCCUUGGUGGAGGAGGAUCGGGUUAGAGAUCAUUUAAGCAAACCUGACACCCAGAAAUCCAUGGGUCCUGAUGGGAUGCACCCACGAGUGSUGAGGGAGCUGGCGGAUGUUAUUGCUAAGCCACUCUGCAUCAUCUUUGAAAGGUCAUGGAGAACAGGAGAGGUGCCUGAAGACUGGAAGAAAGCCAAUGUCACCCCAGUCUUCAAAAAGGGCAGGAAGGAGGACCCAGGAAACUACAGGCCAGGCAGCGCCACCUGCAUCCCUGGUAAGGGGAUGGAGCAGCUCAUCCUGGAUGCCAUCUCUAAGCAUAGGAAGGAUAAGAAGGUGAUCAGGAGUAGUCAGCAUGGCUUCAUCAAGGGGAAAUCAUGCUUAAUGAACCCGAUAACCUUCUAUGAUGGCAUGACAGGCUGGGUAGAUGAGGGGAUGGCAGUGGAUGUUGUCUACCUUGACUUCAGCAAGGCUUUCCCAUAA